rnacentral:rRNA from 1 species
GACGAACGCUGGCGGCGUGCCUAAUACAUGCAAGUCGAGCGGAUCUCACCUUCGGGUGAGAUUAGCGGCGGACGGGUGAGUAACACGUAGGCAACCUGCCCGCAAGCUCGGGAUAACAUUCGGAAACGAAUGCUAAGACCGGAUAUGCAAUUCUGCCGCAUGGCGGGAUUGGGAAACACGGAGCAAUCUGUGGCUUGCGGAUGGGCCUGCGGCGCAUUAGCUAGUUGGUGAGGUAACGGCCCACCAAGGCGACGAUGCGUAGCCGACCUGAGAGGGUGACCGGCCACACUGGGACUGAGACACGGCCCAGACUCCUACGGGAGGCAGCAGUAGGGAAUCUUCCACAAUGGACGCAAGUCUGAUGGAGCAACGCCGCGUGAGUGAGGAAGGUCUUCGGAUCGUAAAGCUCUGUUGCCAGGGAAGAACGCUUUGGGGAGUAACUGCACCGAAGGUGACGGUACCUGAGAAGAAAGCCCCGGCUAACUACGUGCCAGCCGCCGCUGUAA